rnacentral:piRNA from 1 species
UGUCAAAGAAUGAUGAUGAAUGCACCGG